rnacentral:rRNA from 1 species
GACGAACGCUGGCGGCGUGCUUAACACAUGCAAGUCGAACGGAAAGGCCCUGCUUUUGUGGGGUGCUCGAGUGGCGAACGGGUGAGUAACACGUGAGUAACCUGCCCUUGACUUUGGGAUAACUUCAGGAAACUGGGGCUAAUACCGGAUAGGAGCUCCUGCUGCAUGGUGGGGGUUGGAAAGUUUCGGCGGUUGGGGAUGGACUCGCGGCUUAUCAGCUUGUUGGUGGGGUAGUGGCUUACCAAGGGUUUGACGGGUAGCCGGCCUGAGAGGGUGACCGGCCACAUUGCGACUGCGAUACGGCCCAGACGCCUACGGGAGGCAGCAGUGGGGAAUAUUGCACAAUGGGCGGAAGCCUGAUGCAGCAGCGCCGCGUGCGGGAUGACGGCCUUCGGGUUGUAAACCGCUUUCGCCUGUGACGAAGCGUGAGUGACGGUAAUGGGUAAAGAAGCACCGGCUAACUACGUG